GACGAACGCUGGCGGCGUGCCUAACACAUGCAAGUCGAACGGAACUGUUUUGAAAGAUUUCUUCGGAAUGAAUUUGAUUUAGUUUAGUGGCGGACGGGUGAGUAACGCGUGAGUAACCUGCCUUCAAGAGGGGAAUAACAUUCUGAAAAGAAUGCUAAUACCGCAUGACAUAUCGGAACCACAUGGUUUUGAUAUCAAAGAUUUUAUCGCUUGAAGAUGGACUCGCGUCCGAUUAGUUAGUUGGUGAGGUAACGGCUCACCAAGACCGCGAUCGGUAGCCGGACUGAGAGGUUGAACGGCCACAUUGGGACUGAGACACGGCCCAGACUCCUACGGGAGGCAGCAGAGGGGGAUAUUGCGCAAUGGGGGCAACCCUGACGCAGCAACGCCGCGUGAAGGAUGAAGGUUUUCGGAUUGUAAACUUCUUUUAUUAAGGACGAAAAAUGACGGUACUUAAUGAAUAAGCUCCGGCUAACUACGUG
rnacentral:rRNA from 1 species